rnacentral:rRNA from 1 species
UACAGAGGGUCCAAGCGUUAGUCCGGAAUCAUUGGGUUUAAAGGGUCCGUAGGCGGUUUGAUAAGUCAGUGGUGAAAUCUUUUCGGCUCAACCGAGAAAUGGCCCGAUUGAUACUAGUCGAGACUUGAAUUAUUAGGAAGUAACUAGAAUAUGUAGUGUGAGCGGUGAAAUGACUUAGAGAUUACAAUGGAAUACCAAUUGCGAAGGCA